AUAUAUGGGGGCGAUCAGGCUACAUUAUCUGUCUUUCCGUUUGAUUGCCAGGUUUGAAUGAGCUGAUCUGACUGGCUGGGUGGCAGUCUCCUUCCUCCCUUACCAAUACAUGUGUGUCCCUUCCCAAGCUGCACGUGGGAUCAAAGAGGACCACCUCUCCCAAUUUAGGAGGACCAUUCUUUGGUCAAGGAUAUAUAACUGGCUGUGCUCCUCUACUAGAACCUCCAAAAAAAGCUCUCAAAGUCCAUUUGUAGGAGAAUGUAGGGUAGUCAAUCUUCCAAGACUCCAGCCACAUCCAAAUGAGGUGCUGCAUGCGGCAAUCUGACUUUCUUA
rnacentral:snRNA from 1 species